UUGUCCUGCUGCUGGAAGCCAGGGUGGAGGUGGGGAGCUUCACGCAGAGCCUACUUCAUGGGGACUGACAGAAGGCCGCGUGGUUUCUUCUAUACAGCGAUGUCUAGACAGAUGCAAUCAGAGAGUACGCAGUCUCUCGUGUGGAACUUCUCUCCCUCGGCGUGACAUACGUUACAUUCACCCAGUUAAGUCUCAUCUGUUGCUGCACACAGUUCGAGGUGGGCUGUGGCUCCUUGUGAAUAUUUCUGUGACGGAGAGACCUCCUCCAUCCUCAGGAUGAACACUCCUAAAUUACAUCAUCCUUGGUGUGGCGCUCCAUGGGCUUGGUGACCGUUUCAGAUCACUACAAACUUACUCUCAAAACCAAUGAGGCCAGUCAGUCUGUGCGUCUCGGGGACCUCUAUAUAACUUUCCCCGGGAGAAACACAGCACCUUGUCUGACCGGGACUUGCUGGUAUGAGCCAAGAGUGGGAGUAAAAAUAAGGAACUGAGCCCAUGGAUCCCGGGUGAUGAGCAAGGGUGGAGGAGGCCCUACUCCUGGCCUGCAGGAGGCUCACGCAGUCGUGGGGAUGGCGUCAGUUUGCAGUAAGUCAUCCCGACAGCCAGUGCUGUGGAGAAUCUGGGUUUGUAAAGAUCAAAAGCAAACACCGGGUUGGGAAUCUAGGAGUAACACAAAUGUACUUGUGAAUGUCUGAAAAUCCAAGAAAGUUUCCAGAAGAAAAUAAAAAAGAAACUGUCUGCCAUCCCGCUAUCCAGAGAUAAGCAUUGUUAAAUUUUUUAUGCAUUUCUCUA